AUCUUUUUAUUCUUUUUGUUUGUUUGUUGUUUUUCAAGACAGGUUCUCACUAUGUAGCCCUAGCUGUACUGGAACUCACUACGCAGAUUAGGCAGGUCUAAAACUCUCAAGAGUUUCCUGUCUGUGCCUCCCGAUGGGACUGAAGGCUGGCUUUGAAUUUACUACGUAGCUGAGGAUGACCUAGAACUUCUAAUCUUCCUCCACUUCCACUACCAACAAAACAAUCUACACCUCUUAAAAUGACAGUAGCACAUCUUGCACAGAUAUAUUUGGGUUUGUGUCAAGCAGACAGAACAACCUAGCACGGCACCCACAGAUUUGAGGUGAGAUAUCCAAAGGACCACUGAAACACCUGUGUGGCUCCCAUGGGGGUUCAGAGAUGUUUGCCAUGCAAGGAUUACCCAGACAAAAAGAGAUGAAUGCAGAUCCUAAUAGCUGCUGUGUGUGUGUUUCUGAGUCUCUGUAUUGUGUGGGUGUUCCUGAGUCACUUGCUGUUAGCCUGUGUGUGUGUGUGUGUGUGUGUGUGUGUGUGUGUAGGGUGGUUCUUGAGUUACUAGCUGUUAGCCUGUGUGUGUGUGUGUGUGUGUGUGU